UAUAACAAGUGCAGAAAGCUUUUAUUAGAACUAAUCUAAUCAACAAAAUUUUGUUCGUUUUCUCUCUUAUCUUUUAAAGAGAUAAAAUUCUCUCUAUUUUCAUUCUUAUCAAUAUCAAAUAUUUCGGAAGGAAUAGAGAAAAAUAAAGAUAAUUUUGUUUUUUGAUGUUUAUAUUUCGAUCUUAGAUCGAUCUUGUCUUCGCGUUAGGUGAUUGUCUCUUUGCUUAGGCAAUCUUUGCGGUGGUGUUUCGAUCAUUUUCUGGGCAAAUAUUCAGUUUCUUAUUUAUUUUAUGGGAUUGAUUGGAUAAAUAAAGUUAUGAUCUUGAUGAUCGGAUUUGUCUGAGCUUCUUCCCUCACAAAAAUUGAUUUAUCCCGACUGUUUUCUUUGGAGUUCUUCUUCUCGUUGGUUAUCCUCCAAAUAUAUCAACCUUUGCUAUUAUGUUAUCUAAGCAAAGUGUUCUUACAAGAUGAAGAUUGAGUUUUGCAAGUUUUUCUUAACGAUUUGUUUCAGUUUAAAAAUAGUAGAAGCUUGUUAUAUGCAAGUAUUUCAACAAAGACUGAUAACAAAUCAUUUCAAGUUUUUUGGCGGUUACACAUCUAGCGAAAAGAAUGAAACUUUCGAUGAAGACAGAGGCGUUUUAGGGAAAAAGAAGCACGGAAGUGGAAUUAAAUUAGGGAUGGAUCUCUAGCUCUAUGAUUGUCUCGUAACAAAUCUCUGGAGUUUAAGCGGCCUUUGUUCCGGCGAUGUCGUAGUCGGUCUUUGUUCCAGCAAGGAUCUAAACCCUUCCCCAUUUAAGGACACGUCGAAGACCACGUAGGAACACAUGUUGUUCAAUGCAUAUGUCUAUCUUUAUGUUUGGCAUUUAUGUGGGUUUAAUUAAUUUGUGUAAUGGGUUUGACUUUCCACUUGUAUUUCUAAGCCUUAAAGGCUAUAGCCUUUAAGUCUAGUCUAAGUCUUCGAAACCCUAGCCGUCGCGAGCAAGUAUCUACCGUGCCGCUUGUCAAAGACCGGCUUCGAUGGCUCCAUCAGCAUCGGAGUAGUAUAUUUGAAGCAUCUCAGAUACCGGCGAGAUGCAUGGUUUCAGAUCUGAUUGUCUCCUUCCUUCUGUUGAAGCCGGAGAUCUGGAUCUACUAGAUUGACGGUGGGAUUUGUUCCCUUCUCUUGGUGUCGUUAAGCGUGGGUGAAGGUAUUUUGUGACGUGUUGGUAUUAGCUUGAAGUCAUGAGACUGCUGCUUAUGUUCAGUUCUUGGUGUCAUGGUCUCUUCAUCUCAACCUAAGUUCGUUAUUUGGAUCCGUCUUUGUGAUUUUUGUUCGAUGUGGAGGUAUCUACUAGACCUUUUCUUGGUCCUCUGUGGAUAUGGGAUAUGGUUUUUAGACGAAGCAGAUGACUUGUUCUUCAGUUCUUCUCUUGCGAGGAGGUGGGCAGUCUUUGUUCUGUAGGUCAUUUGGUUUUCUUGCGGUGUUCGCGUGUAAGAGCUGGUGGUCUUCUUUGACGUUUUCUCAAGUGGCGUUUCAAGUUCUUUGGUCCUUGUACCUUAGUUAUAGUGAGGGAUUUUGGUCAUGCAAGUUUCAGAUGGAUAGUAGCUGCUGGAGUUGAUGUAGAUUUGACCUCGAGAUUGUUUCUGAUGUUGAUGUUCUAGUUUGGCUUGGUGAUGUUUCAUUCAGGGUUGGGAUCGCUCAAGACUUUUGCUCUUUAGUGUUACCAUGUUCUAUGGAAAUGUAGUUAGUAAUUAUUUGAUCAUCAGUCUCAGCUCUAGUUCCACUGUCUCUAAAUAUUACUUGUCUACUGUUUUAAAAUUUAUCGGUUGUUUUGGUUAGUA